rnacentral:rRNA from 1 species
UACAGAGGGUGCGAGCGUUGUUCGAAUUUACUGGGCGUAAAGGGCGCGUAGACGGUUUUGUAAAUUAGUGGUGAAAUAAUAGGGCUCAACCCUAUUGCUGUUUCUAAGACUGCAUUACUAGAGAACGGGAGAGGUAAGUGGAAUUCCUAGUGGAGAGGUAGAAUUCGGCGAUAUUAGGAGGAACACCAAAAGCGAAAGCAGCUUACUAGAACGUUUCUGACGUUGAGGCGCGAAAGUAUGGGGAGCAAACAGG